rnacentral:rRNA from 1 species
CGAACGGGUGAGUAACGCGUGAGGAACCUGCCUCAAAGAGGGGGACAACAGUUGGAAACGACUGCUAAUACCGCAUAAGCCCACGGUGCCGCAUGGCACAGAGGGAAAAGGAGCAAUCCGCUUUGAGAUGGCCUCGCGUCCGAUUAGCUAGUUGGUGAGGUAACGGCCCACCAAGGCAACGAUCGGUAGCCGGACUGAGAGGUUGAACGGCCACAUUGGGACUGAGACACGGCCCAGACUCCUACGGGAGGCAGCAUG